CUUACUUUCGACGAAAUCAAGUUUCUCUGGAAUUUGGUGGAGUUUAAGAUUUGAUAUCGGUGUCGUAGGAGUUAUGUGACACUUUAAGGUGGAAUAAAUCUAGCGAGGAGUUUAAGGUGCGGCAAAGGAGCGUGGAAUGUUGCAAUAGAAAUUUAUUGCAGUGUUAGUGCAUUGGUAGAUUGAUCAAAUUUACGUGUAGCGUGGGUAACCAAUGCUAAACCUUACGACGAAAAAUUAACGAAGUGGAAUAAAAAUGGCAUUGUGAUUCUUCUCGUCGUGUAUCGGUGUCACAUCAAAUUUAAGAGACAGUUUUACUUGCGGAUGCUGCGUGUUACGUUGGUGAAGUCGACGAAAGCGUAAAAUAGGAGCUCGUCCGAAAUACACUAACGCGGAAGGUUAAAUUUAACGCAAAAGGCUGAGAAAUUAGUUUAGAACUCGAAGUUUCAUUGGUACGACGCACUUGAAACGCAUUCAAAGAGGUCGGCGACCUCGAAAGGGGAUGAACGCAACUGUUUCGUGGGAAUUUCUUAUUGUGGCUUAUUUGGAUGAAGCUGCUUUAAAAUCAGCGCUGGAUUCGUCUGUUUUUUGCCCGGAAAUCAUAAAAUGUUUAGGCCAGGCGACUCCAUGUACAGAAAAUGUUAUGUCCACUUUUUACGUCCGUAGAAUUCAACUCUUUACUACUAUGCACUUCUUCUCCAAAAAAAUAUCGCGUUUCAAUAUUAAAAAAAGUUUCAAUAAUAUACUAUCCAUUAGAAGAAUGAUAACAUGAUAACCUUACAAAUUAUUAGUAUUAACAAAUUCUUAUUGUCGUAUAGAAAUGCCAACUAUUGCUUCGGUAAAACAAACAAAGGAAUUUUACAGAUGCAGGAAUCUUAGCCUCAUGAGAAAUUGGAGAUGAAAAUGAGUGGGAAAAGAUUAAUCGAGGACACAAUAGUAUUAUUCCAGGAAGUGCUAGUUCUUCCUAGAUUCCGGUUACAAUGUUCUUAACGCGUGGAAAUUAGUCUUGACCAGGAAACAUCUAUAACGGCAUGUAUUUUCUGCCGUGAUUGUAAAUCUGUUUGGAACAUGCGGUUUGUCCGUUAAUCUAGGCGCUGUUGUUCAAUUGAGUCAAUAUUAUUUGUUGGUAGAUUAGUGUGUGCAAGAGCGCUCUGUUCAUUAUUGACCAAUUCGAGCACGUAUUGGUAAAUUUCACACCGGCAAUUACGGUGAAAUCGUUCGUGGUCGCUGGAAAUUAGCAGUAUCGUUUGCGGUCGUGAGCUGAUUGACACUGCGUGAGCGGGGAAUUAUGUGAAGCAGCUUUGCUUUGUCGUUUCAUGCAUUUAAUAGGUUUACGGCGGUGGACAGAGUUUGUAAAAAAUGAAGACAAGGAGUAACAAGUACCUGCAAAAAUCAUCCAUCAGCCGGAUAUGUGCUGUCGGAGGGUUUUUCAUUAGCAUUCCCGUCUUUCUAACUGGUAAGAACCAAUUCCUUCAAUUCUGUCAACUUUAACCUUUUGAAAGAUACUAGUACUUAAGUUAUACGUUUAAUUUUUCUUGAAUUCAGGCAUGAAUCUAAAAGAUACUGUGAACUAUCUCUGAGUGUAUGAAAUCAGUUUAGAAAUCCAAUGGAAAUAAAGUUAAUUUUAACGCCGAAUAGUCAUUAUUUUUCUUAGAAAAAUAAAAAAUGAUCGUCUUUUAGGGAAGUUUUAACAGAUUAAUUUAUAAAGAGCUGAAACAGAAUAUUCAUGUCAUGCAUGAAUACG